AUGAACGCUGGCGGCGUGCCUAAUCCAUGCAAGUCGCGCGAACAGACGAGGAGCUUGCUCCUCUGACGUUAGCGGCGGACGGGUGAGUAACACGUGGAUAACCUACCUAUAAGACUGGGAUAACUUCGGGAAACCGGAGCUAAUACCGGAUAAUAUAUUUAACCGCAUGGUUCAAUAGUGAAAGACGGUUUUGCUGUCACUUAUAGAUGGAUCCGCGCCGCAUUAGCUAGUUGGUAAGGUAACGGCUUACCAAGGCAACGAUGCGUAGCCGACCUGAGAGGGUGAUCGGCCACACUGGAACUGAGACACGGUCCAGACUCCUACGGGAGGCAGCAGUAGGGAAUCUUCCGCAAUGGGCGAAAGCCUGACGGAGCAACGCCGCGUGAGUGAUGAAGGUCUUCGGAUCGUAAAACUCUGUUAUUAGGGAAGAACAAAUGUGUAAGUAACUAUGCACGUCUUGACGGUACCUAAUCAGAAAGCCACGGCCAACUACGUG
rnacentral:rRNA from 1 species